AUUACGCAACAUAGAACUAGCUAGAAGAGAGAAAAGAAAGAAGAGAGAGAGAGAGAGAUGGGUGAGCCAAAGCGAAAAUUAUUGGACAUGUCAAGAUUUCCAACAGUUCGAGGCAUUCAAAUUUAAAGGCGUGGAACCAAAUGUUUUACAGAACCGAAACCCAAUAUUGGAAGCCCAAUGAGAUAGAUAUUAGAAUAAAUAUUAAACCAAACUAAAAAAACUCUUAGUUAAAAUAGAACCAAUCUUGAACCGAAGAGUUGAAUCAUAACCAAUAAAACAAUUAGGCAGUAGUAAUCAACUCGAACCAUCCCACGCUGUCAUCAAUGAUUGGAGAUGAAAAAACACGAUCGUGAGAGAGAUAAGAGGAGAAUCCAGUGGCGAUUAGGGUUUGUCCUUUCUUUUAACGAGAUCCUUCAAACCAGAGUUGUAGCAUGUCGGAGGACAGGAUGGAGUUAGAGUGACGGUAGCUGAGUGCUCUGUUUCGCACAAAAGAGUCAAUCUGUUUAACAAUAAGGUCGGCGGACUUGAAGCUGUUCCGAUGAAGACGAUGGUUCCUUUCCGUCCAUAUGUUGUAGAUCGUAGCUUGCCAAGCCGUGAGAAGGAGUAUCUUGACAACUCUAGAACCUUGGAAGCUAGUGAGCUGCUGAAGGCAGUCAGACCAAGAACGGACAGGGGAGAAGGAGCAGCGGUUGGCGAUGAGGUUCCAGAUGCUCCAGCUGAACGGACAAUCAAAGAAAAGGUGAUCACGACUUUCCUCAGUCGAUCCGCAUAGCAGACAAGACAGAUCUACCUGUAAACCUCAAGAUCGAAGUCUAUCCCUAGUUGGACAUCUAUUCAACACAAAUAACCAGGUGAGGAAUCUAUGCUUUGGUAUGCCUUUAGUGAACCAAAUGAUCCUAUACCAUGCCACCUUAUGUAGAGUUUCUUUUAGGGCAGUGUAGAUGUUACCAGUAGUUCGACCAUCUCGCAGUUGGUCAUUAAUCCACCAGAUGUACUUAUCCUCUUCGUCUGCUAGUUGUAAGGUAGUUAGCUCAAUAUGAAGAUUGACCUAUUUUUCGGAUCGUGCAGGUGGUACCCUCCAUGUGCCAUGACGCUAGAGGUCUGCGAUGGUUGAUCUUAGCGGGAUGUCCAAAGUUCCUUCAUUGUGCAGGUAGGUUGACAGUCGUCCUAGACUGCACCAAUGAUCGCUCCAAAACCUACAUUUUCUUCCAUUGCCAACCUUAAUCUUUAUCCAAUGGAAUACUUCUUCCCGAAGCUUUAAAAGUUUGUUCGUUAACCAGGAGAACUUGUUACUUGGCUUCCGGGUCCAAAAGUUACUAAGAUCUCCAGAGAGAACAGCCGACUUGAACCACGCAACCCACACCGAGCCUGCCCUGAAGAAUAAGAGCCAGAUAAGUUUUAUCAUACAUGCUGUAUUCCAUUUUCGCAAGUCACGAAUACCUAGUCCUCCCUCUGAUUUCGCAUUUGUGAUAGUUUCCCAAGCCACUCGGGCCGAGUGAUGACCCUCUGUAGUUCCUUUCCACAGGAAAACACCAGUUAGAGAGUUCAAUGUGUCAAUACACUUCUUUGGCAAGAGGAAAGCUGAGCACCAGAAGUUCGUCAGUCCAGCAAUCGCAGUGUUUAGGAGUUGUAACCUUCCCGCAAAUGAGAGAGAUUUCAUGGACCAGGCAUUUAAGCUACUUUUUACUUUCUGGAUCAGAGGAGCAGAGUCGAGCAAGGUAAGCUUUUUAGUGUAGAGAGGUAUGCAUAGAUAACGGAUCGGUAGUUGUCCAUGGCUAACCCCUGUUUCAAGUUUGAUCUGGUCAAUUCCAGGUUGAGAAAGCCCGGAAGAGAAGAAACUAGUCUUAGGGAGACUGACAGCCAGACCAGAGACAGCUUCAAAAUCCUUCAAAAUGGUAAGGACCCUUUGAACCGAGGCUAAUGAUCCAUCUACAAAUAUCAACAAGUCGUCUGCAAAGCUUUAAAUCACGACACCUGUAAUGAUACUUUAUUUUUCCUUCUUCUGCAGCUUUAUCUAACAUGGCAGAAAGACAGUUUAGUGCAAGAACGAAGAGGUAAGGCGAUAGUGGAUCACCCUGCCUGAGCCCUCUUCUACUUUUAAAGUACCCAUGCACGCGCCCAUUGAAGCCAACUGAGAAGGAGGGAGUGCAUAUACAUGCCCGAAGCCAUUGAAUAUAGAGUUCAGGUACUUCUAUUCCCCUUAGACAGCUAAAGAUAAACUCCCAUCGGAUAGUAUCAAAUGCUUUUGCGAUGUCAACCUUUAUUGUUAUCCGUUUGGGUACUUUCGAUGAUAACCAUUUACAAGUUCCGCAACAAGCAAGGUAUUUUCAACUAAUAGUCUUCCUUUGAUAAAUGCAGUUUGAUUCCGCUAGACCAAAGCUGGGAGGGCAGGUUUGAUUCUUGCUACCAGAAGCUUGGAGAUGACUUUAUAUAGAGUAUUAAGACAGGAGAUUGGUCGAAAAUCUGAGAUGAGAGAGGCUCCGGGGAAUUUCGGGAUCAAAGCAAGUGUUAUUGCAUUAGUCGCUGAAGGCAAGAAGGAUGUGUGGAAAAACUUUUGAAUGCUUGUGGUGACAUCUGAACCAAGGAUCCCCCAGGCGGAUUUGUAGAAGGCAGAGGUAAAACCAUCAGGCCCUGGUGCCUUAUUUGCAUUUAGCUUAAACAUUACGUUUGUGAUUUCCUCAAUGGUAGGCUGUUUUACCAUUGUGAGUUUUAGUUCAGGGGAACAACGGUAAGUUAUAAUGCUUUGUAUCCAUGCAGGACAACCAGAGAUGGGUAGCAUAACAACAUGACCAAGUAGAGAUUCAAAAUGACUAACAGCCAGUCGACUCAUUUCAACUGGAUCAUCAAUAAUAGCUCCCGAAGAGCUAGAGAAGGAUCUGAUGGCGUUGAAUGCAUUGCAGAUCCUGGUAAUGCGAUGAAAGUAACCCGUGUUUAAAUCUCCCUCUCUAAGCCAGUUAAUGCGAGAUCGCUGUCGGAAAUACGCUUCUUCCACCCUUCUGAGGAAAUUCCAUUUGGUGUGGAGGUCUUUCUCUUCUUAUAACAGAGCUGGCGACGGAUUGGAUAUAGCUUGUACUUGCACAGUUUGUAGCACUAGAAUCUUAUUGGUUUCCAUCAUUUGGAGGAAAAGCGGGUGGGUGGAAAGGAAGUUGAAGAACUUGAAAGGUUUGGUACCAGAAGAAGGAAGGGUUGCAUCGAGGUUUAGAAGGCACGGUGUAUGGUCCGAGUAUUCAGGAGCAAGGAAAGAGGCGAUAGAGUACGGGUGAAAAGAGGACCUUGAUAGCGCACAUCAAACAAAUCAAGCUAUAAGAGACAAUCCCGCAACUCUGUCAUUCGCGAGGUUAAGUGGUUGACAUUUGCAUUGGAGUGUUCCCCAGGAUGGAUAAUUUGAUUGAAAUCUCCUCCUACCAUCCAGGGAAGAGAGUCCAACUGAAACCGCUGCUGGAGAUCAAUGAUUUCACACAAAAGGGGACCUCCAGAUGAGAACUAUCCUGCCAUCAUCAUCUGAUUUGUGAUUCGAUGUGAACUGCCAUCUAGGACAGGUAAGAUUCAUGACGUGGUUCAAGUUUGGUUCUUUUAUAUGGGUUUCUAGUAUGGCACCAAAAAGAGGCUGGUUAGUGUAUAACUAAUUAGCAAAAGGCCGAUGCUUAUCCGAGUCAUUUAGUCCUCGAACAUUCCAAAAAAAUGGUUGUAUAUACAUGGGAAUGUGAGGAGGUAAAAGACAAAUGGGAGACUCUCCCGAAGAUGGGGGAGGCUCCAAGUAUGAGGGAACUGCAGUUUCUAUUUCCAUAUCAGAUGGUUGCACAGAGGGAGGAGGGGUUAAGGAGGGUGUGUGAGAGGUUGAGACAGGAGAUGGUUGAGGGCGGAUUAACAGUAAGGAGGGGUCAGGGGGAGGUUGGGUAGCAUCUAAAACUUCAAAAGGGUUUGGAGUAGCAAGAGAGGAGAUCGGACAACAAUCCACUUGGCCAGGUAAGGAUGUUGGUUUGUUUGUUGUGUUUGCUGAGGAUUUGUGGGGGUUGAUUGGUGGUUUUUGUUGCAAAACAGGACACUCGGGGAUCAGAGAUGAGACAAUGGGACAGGAGGAAGAGGGAUCUCUCUCAGGUACUGAAGGGUUCUGUUCUUUUGCAGCAUCUAACUUAGAAGCAGGACUUUGUGGUAUUGGCUGCUUUGAGGGUGGUUUUGCAGGUUUGCUUCGAACUGGAACCCAAGGAGUAGUAACAGAAGGACAGUACUUGACGACAUGGCCAAUUUCGUUGCAGUUAGAACAAGUUAGUGGGAUCCAUGGGUACUCGACUGCUAUCGUGAUGACUACCCCAUUCUCACGAAGAACCUCCACACUUGAAGGUAGAGGCUCUGUCAGGUUUCGUUCUACUUUUACAUACGCUUCAGUUAAACUGACAAGAUUUCUAGUAAAAUCAUCCAUUUCCUUUGGCUCUCCGACCAGGCCCGCUACUAAACUGAUCCCUUUUCGGUGCAUCAGGUCAAAAGGCAUACCUUUGAGAUGAGCCCAGAUUGGAAUAGCAUUCAAGUCAGGCUUAUUUCCUCCAAACGAAUCCCACUGAGCCACCAAGAACAUACACUCACCAAUGUACCACAUUUUCUUCUCCAAUACCUUGGUUUGAAUGUACUCAUUUGGUAAGCGGACAAGCAUCGAGUUAUUUGAAUGAUUAAGCACUCUCGUGGAAGACCGAAUCAGGGAUGACUAUUCGAGGCUUUCCUUCUCGUGAGUAGUCUACUGGAGCAAGUCGAGAGAGGGAUUUGU